UCUUUUUUUCCUUUUUUUUUGGGGGGGGGGGGGAGUUGGUGGUGGCAGUGGCAAUGAGACAUGGUCUCACUCUUCAUCUCAAACUGGCCUGAAAGUCACAGCAAUUCUCCUGCUUCAACUUCUGGAAUACUAGGAUUAGGGAAGUGAGCCAUCACGGAUGGCUUACUUUCUUUUCAUAUACACCUUGGAAUUGGAUUGCCUUGUAAUGAGAAGGUUAAGAUGGCGCCUUUUUCAUCCUUUGAAAAAUCAUCAAAUUUUCAUCCUCCUGGGCUGGGGAUGUAGCUCCUGGGGGAUUUACCGAGGAUGCGUAAAGCACUGGAUUUGAUGACCUGCAUUUAAACAAGUCAAGAAGUCAAGAGUGACCUUUAGUCACCCAUCUUGAUACCUUCUAGUUGGUCAGCAGUAUGCUAUAAAGUGAACGCUGGACCCCUUUGAUAUAAAUUCUUUGAACAGACCUCUUUUCUUUAUCUACUACCUUUGGGCCAUGGGUACAGCUUUCGGCAUAUCAUAGCUCUUUGUAUAACUCAUGUUAAUUUCAACAAGUUAGUGGCUGUGGAUUUAAUGAUGUGACUAGAUCCUUUUACUAAGGUAAUUUACAUGCCGGUGUCCAUUUAUUUUAGAAGAGAUUGAAAUUAAUGGCAAGAUUAAGUUAAUCUGUAGCUUAGAAGUAAGAAAUUCUGCAGAUCCAAGCUUUGGGUUAAAAUAUGAGUGCAUUUUUUUUUCCGGAGCUGGGGACCGAACCCAGGGCCUUGUGCUUGCUAGGCAAGCCCUCUACCACUGAACUAAAUCCCCAACCCCGAGUGCAUUCUUUAUUACCAAUAUAGGAUCUGAAUAUUUUGUCCAAAGGUCAGGAGAUGAUUUCUUUGAACUUUAUUGGUGUUGAAGAAAUAAAGUUUCAUAGCUGUGAAAAGCAAAACUGUAAAAACAAGGCUUUGAGAAACACACCUGUGGGUCAGGAUGCCUAGGACAAACUUGUGACCUUUCUGAGAUACAUCUGACGUCAGGAUGCCCAGUGAUAUGAUAAAGUUUUGGUGAUCAAGAUAUUGAGGCAAUUCUGACUAAGCUAAUUAAGACAAAACAAUAACAACUGUUCCCUCUACCCAUCCCUGUGGUAAAUUCCGAGAACAACUGCAAGAUGUCAUCCUGACCCUGCCCAACUACCCAGUCCACCCCUACUCUAAGGGAUGGGCCAGCUUAGCCCUUUCCCAGUGAUUCUCCAAGGCCAGGUGUAGGACUGGAUGAGGAAAGUGACCAACUGAGCCAAGAACAGCCCCUUGAGCAAGACAGCCAAUACCUGACCGGAUGCUUUGUCCUGUGUACCACCAAUGAGAAUAAGCCAGCUAACCCUGUUGCUGAAGUCUGCCCUCUGUAAUGAAUAAAAGUUGUGUGUUUUUGUGUUCGGGGUUGCCUCUCCCUGCAUGGAUGAGCAACCCCAUGUAUGUGGAUUAAAAACCUUACAACCUCAUGCUAUUGCAGUGGUCACUUUGUCAAUCUGUGUUCUGUGGGUUGCGCUUCUGAGGUAAGGCUACUAUGGGGUCUAACAUUAUGAUGCUGGGAAUCCAAAUUAGGGCCUUGAACAUGCCAAGCAAGUGUUCUAACACUAAGCUACAUUCCUAGCCCACUCCUUUGAGGUUUAUAUCAUUAUAUACAAUUGCUUACUCAAUAUUCUUACAUAUUCUAUAGGUGUCUGACACUCUAUGUGUUUGAAAUUAAACUCAUUUCUCCAUCAAACCGGGUUCCUCUGGUGUUCUUCUGCUCAUACAUGGAACUGUCCCUCCAUUACCCAUGCCAUGGGAUUCAUGCUUGGUUGCUUCCCAUCCCGCUUUAUAUCUAACUAAUUACAAAUGUUGACAACGGGCUGGAGAGAUGGCUCAGAGGUUAAGAGCGCUGUCUGCUCUUCCAGAGGUCCUGAGUUCAAUUCCCAGCAACCACAUGGUGGCUCACAACCACCUAUAAUCAGGUCUGGUUCCCUCUUCUGGCCUGCAGGAAUACACGCAGGCAGAAAGCUGUAUGAUGUAUACAUAAUAAAUAAAUAAAUUUAUAAAAAAAACAAAAAAACAAAUGUUGACAACUUACUCAAUAAUUAUUGUGGGAACAAAAAUCUGUUGCCUGAUGAACUUUUAUUUUAACAAAAACAUAAUAAUGUCUUCUUAGGCAAGGACUGGGCGCCCUGACAUACAAUCAUUAAAAAAAAUUCAGUCCUGGACAAAGGUAGCACACACCUUUAAUCCCAGCACUAAGAAUUUUGAAGACCGGAUGGUCUACAGAAAGAGUUCCAGGACAAUCAGGGCUACACUGAGAAACCCUGUCGCAAAAAAACAAACAACAAAAAGAAAAGAAGAUUAACUCUAGUAUUUAUCUUUCUGUAUUGAAGCGCAGUAACUUGAAAGGUCCCUAUGAUGUCCACUAAUUACCUUAACAACUAUUUAGUGACUAUCUGCUCUAUGUGAUGCACAGUAGCCAAAUACUGUCAAUAACUGUAGGAUAUACCCCACUUGCAAGAUAACACGUUAGCCUAACACUGUUACUUUCUGAAUGCUGAUACAAAACAUCUGAAUCAGAGAUAAGGGGGUUUAAUCUUCAAAACACACCAAUUAGCCCCAACCCGAGCAAGAACCCCGAGGGAAGCUAAGGUAUCCACGCAAUGGCUUUCCGACACAACUCAACAAUAAGGUUAGUAAACUUAUAAUGGGCUUCAAAUCAACAUGUCCAGCUUUUGCUCCGGAGGGAAACAUUAUCUUGUCUUUAAGACAAGAGUUUUUCGUUUUUCUGGCCCUGCUGGUCUUGUACCCCCCGAGCAUUUAGUCUCCACCUUCUAAAUGGUGGGAUUACAGAUGCGCUUUCUGGCAUCACAUUUCCCUGAUUUUUUAAAAAUUUUUCAGGUUAAAUUUAUUUAAAGAGAACCCAGACAGGAUAGUGUGACAAAUUUAUGGGGUGACGAGUACAAUUCUACGCAAUAUCCCACAGAAAACAGCCUUCCAAGGUUCCAAGCCGCGUGGUGGCUCCGGGACACAUUUCAUUCGCUUAGCCAUCACGCUCUGGCCGUCCUCUCUGUAGAUGGCUGCUUCGGGUUUCACUCGAUCUUGAUUUCCUUCUGUGAUGACUCCUAGCACGUAGCGUCUCCUAGACCACCAUAAAUAUCGAGCCAAUCUCUGGACUCACUCAGCUCUCUGCGGCCCGCGGGUCCCAGCAGCCCUGCACUUCCGGUCCCGAGCUUCCGGCCUCGCCCACCCUGCGCGGAGGCCUGUGGGAGCGGCUUCCUUGGAGCCGCACCUGGCAACGGCUGGGCGUCCAGCUCUGGCCUGCUGAGCCUCAGGCGUCGCGUCUUCCCUCAGGCCCACUCGUGGUCAGGCCGCUCCCCCUCGGCGCGAGGUACACAUGAUGGAAAAUGUUCAUCUGGCACCAGAAACAGAUGAGGAUGAUCUUUACUCUGGUUUCAAUGACUACAAUCCAGCCUACGAUACUGAGGAGUUGGAGAAUGACACGGGUUUUCAGCAAGCAGUGAGAACCAGUCAUGGCAGAAGACCUCCAGUAACUGCAAAGAUACCAAGCACAGCUGUCAGCAGACCCAUAGCUACUGGAUAUGGGUCCAAGACAUCCCUGACAUCAUCAAUGGGAAGGCCGAUGACAGGGACUAUUCAGGAUGGAGUUGCUCGACCGAUGACGGCGGUGAGAGCAGCUGGCUUUUCCAAGGCAGCUUUGCGAGGCUCUGCAUUUGACCCCCUUGGUCAGUCUAGGGGCCCUGCUCCUCCUUUGGAAGCCAAAAAUGAAGACAGUCCAGAAGAAAAGAUUAGACAGUUAGAGAAGAAAGUAAAUGAGUUGGUGGAAGAAAGCUGUAUUGCCAACAGUUGUGGAGACUUAAAACUGGCCUUAGAGAAGGCAAAAGAUGCAGGAAGAAAAGAGAGAGUCCUGGUGAGACAACGAGAGCAAGUCACAAGUCCAGAAAAUAUCAACUUGGACCUAACCUACUCCGUUCUUUUCAACUUGGCAAGUCAGUAUUCUGCUAAUGAAAUGUAUGCAGAAGCACUAAACACAUACCAAGUUAUAGUGAAAAAUAAGAUGUUUAGCAAUGCAGGAAGACUGAAAGUGAAUAUGGGAAAUAUUUAUUUAAAGCAGAGGAAUUAUUCCAAAGCUAUUAAAUUCUACCGAAUGGCCUUAGAUCAGAUCCCAAGUGUCCAUAAAGAAAUGAGGAUUAAAAUAAUGCAGAACAUCGGGAUCACGUUUAUAAAGACCGGUCAGUACUCAGACGCCAUCAACUCAUUCGAGCACAUCAUGAGCAUGGCCCCAAGCCUGAAGGCAGGCUUCAACCUCAUUCUCAGCUGCUUCGCCAUUGGAGAUCGAGAGAAAAUGAAGAAGGCAUUCCAAAAGUUAAUUGCUGUUCCGUUGGAAAUUGACGAAGACGAUAAAUAUAUCUCCCCCAGUGAUGAUCCCCAUACUAACUUAUUGAUUGAAGCUAUAAAAAAUGACCAUCUUAGGCAAAUGGAACGUGAAAGGAAAGCCAUGGCAGAAAAAUACAUCAUGACAGCUGCAAAACUCAUUGCUCCUGUGAUCGAAGCCUCCUUUGCUGUGGGUUAUAACUGGUGUGUGGAAGUAGUGAAGGCCUCUCAGUACGUGGAGCUGGCCAACGACCUGGAGAUUAACAAAGCAAUCACCUACUUGAGACAGAAGGACUUCAACCAGGCUGUAGACACAUUGAAAAUGUUUGAGAAGAAGGACAGUAGAGUGAAGAGUGCAGCUGCGACCAACCUCUCAUUCCUGUAUUAUCUGGAGAACGAAUUUGCCCAAGCCAGCAGCUAUGCAGAUUUAGCUGUGAGCUCAGACAGAUACAACCCAUCAGCUCUCACUAACAAGGGGAACACAGUGUUUGCAAAUGGUGACUACGAGAAGGCAGCUGAGUUCUAUAAAGAGGCCCUAAGAAACGAUUCUUCUUGUACUGAAGCACUUUAUAACAUUGGCCUCACCUACAAGAAGCUCAACCGCCUGGACGAAGCGUUGGACUCCUUCCUGAAACUGCAUGCAAUCCUUCGGAACAGCGCUCAAGUUCUGUGCCAGAUAGCAAAUGUAUACGAGUUAAUGGAAGAUCCCAAUCAGGCUAUUGAGUGGCUGAUGCAGUUGAUCAGCGUGGUUCCAACUGAUUCCCAAGCGCUGUCUAAACUGGGAGAGUUGUACGAUAGUGAGGGAGACAAGUCCCAGGCGUUCCAAUAUUACUAUGAGUCAUAUAGGUAUUUCCCUUCUAACAUUGAAGUCAUCGAAUGGCUUGGAGCUUAUUACAUUGAUACCCAGUUCUGCGAGAAAGCCAUUCAGUACUUUGAAAGAGCUUCCCUUAUACAACCCACACAAGUGAAAUGGCAGCUGAUGGUAGCUAGCUGUUUUAGAAGAAGUGGUAACUACCAAAAGGCAUUAGAUACUUACAAAGAGAUUCACAGGAAAUUUCCAGAGAAUGUUGAAUGUUUGCGUUUCUUGGUUCGUCUCUGCACAGAUAUUGGAUUAAAAGAAGUUCAAGAAUAUGCCACAAAACUCAAGAGGUUGGAAAAAAUGAAAGAAAUGCGGGAACAGCGCAUAAAAUCAGGCAGAGACAGCGGCGGGGGCUCUCGCAGCAAACGAGAGGGGAGCGCUGGCAGUGAUAGUGGCCAGAACAGUAGUGCCAGUAGUAAAAGUGAACGACUGAGUGCCAAGCUCAGAGCUUUGCCUGGGACAGACGAACCUUAUGAAAGUAGCGGGAACAAAGAAAUAGGCAAAUGCCUCCUAUGUGGAUCCACUGGGCCCUCAGAUAGAAAGACCAAAAACUGCAGCCAGAAAGAGAAUCGACGAGGACGAUUUUGCUGAUGAAGAGUUAGGAGAUGACUUGCUCCCAGAAUAAUAUAAACUCUUGUGUGUGUGUGUGUGUGUGUGUGUGUGUGUGUGUGUGUGUGUGUGUGUGUGUGUGUAUUUAUGGAAGCCAGAAGCCAGCCUCAGGUGUUUCUCAGGCACCAUCUAUCAUCUUUUUAAACUUGUGACAAGGUUCCUCUGGCCCGGAACUUGCCAUAUAAGCAAGACUGGCUGGCUAGCAACCCCACGGAUCCGCCCGUCUCUGCUUCCUUGCUGGGAGAUUCAUAAGCACAUGGUACUAAAUCCAGCUUUCUUCAAACGGACUCUCGGGCUUGAGCUCAGGCCCUCCAGCUUGCAAGGCAAGCAAUUUCCAAUUGUGUUCUCUCUGGCCAAAGAAGUCAUUUACCAAAGGGAAGAAAUUGCCUUAUAAGCAUUCAGGGAAAAUCAUGGAAGAGGAGGCAGAGAGAUUGUCAGAGCCAGAGGACCAGGCCAUCUGCUGUGAGACACGGUGUCUUCUAUAUGAGGAGCUGCAGCCAUGAGCUCUCAACGAUACGGCCACCUGAACAAGAUCGGCAUAACCGCAUCACCAGCUCACACGCCAGCGUGAACGGGGCAAGUCCACUCCACAGGUCUCACUUCUACAAGAGCUACAGGUGCUCAGUGCCUGUCAGAGAAUCAGUCUCCUCCAUGAAUGUCCAAUCCCAGUACUCAGCCCUGGUUAGACAUACUCAGAAAAAAAGUUAAAUGGACUCAGUAGCUUGUGUGUGUGUGUGUGUAUGUAAUACGUAUACGCACAUAAUAAUGAAUUUGAGAGGAGGGGAAGGGAAGUGAUACAGAUAUAUGAAGUUCUCAAAAAAAUUUAAAACACACACACACACAUACACACACAUACACACACACACACACACACACUAUAGAUACACUGAAACAGAAAAGGGCAGGGAAAGCUCAAUCCAACCACUGGUAUAAAGGAGCAGUCAAGCUUUUACACAUAAAAUCUCAUAAAGAUGUUAACUUUGCCAAUAAUUAUAUAUUGUGUAUUAUUGUUAUUAUUUUAUAUCACCUGUGACCUUAUAAAAGUCAUUUCAGUGGGAAACGGCCCCAAGCUGGAGUACACUGAGCAACAGGAAGUAGGACUUUUAGAACCAGAGAACAAAGACAAGCCACAACACUUUGCUAUCAAAGCAGAGAAGAGACAAGCCCAGAGGUUAAUCCCUGGGGUCAGGAAGGUUCAUAAGUUGCAUCAUGGAAGACUGGGGGUGUGCGAGCUUGAGUGCAAGUGGGCUUGUGCUCACGGCUCGCCUAUGAAAGGUUUGAUGAGAACAGAUCCAAGCUAACGACCUUGGAGAAGGGGUAAAAAGUGGGAAGUAUAAUAGGAUAUUUGUAUUGGAUACUGUUAGUGUUAUUGUCUGAAUGUGACAUGUCCCCACUGGCUCAUGUGUUUGCACAUCCAGGCUCCAGCUGCUGAUGGUACCUCAUAGAAGUCAUAGCUUGGUUCUAUUUCCUGGUCUGAGCUUCUGCUUGCUUCACUUCUGCAUCCCAGAACCUCCAUCCACUGAGCCUUCCUUGCCAUAGAUUGUAUUCUCUCAAUCUGAGCCAAUAAGUGUAUCCCGCAAAGAUGCUGUUUUCAGGUAUUUGGUCAGUGAUGAGAAAAACAACUAAUAUAAGUACCUUGUCACAGCCAUGACAAAAUGCCUGAGAUAACCAAUCUAGAAUAGGAGGUUUAGCUUAGCGUAGAGCUUCACUGGUUAGUCUCUGGCUCCUUGGUCCUUGUUAGGAUCUGUAUAUGCUUGGUCCUGGGAGUGGCACUAUCAGAAGGUGAGGUCUUGUUGGAGUAGGUGCAUCACUGUGGGUGGGGGCUUUAAGACCCUCACCCUAGCUGCCUGGAAGGCAGUCUUCCACCAGCAGCCUUCAGAUGAAGACAGAAUUCUCAGCUCCGCCUGCACCAUGCCUGCCUGGACACUGCUAUGUUACCGCCUUGAUGAUAAUAGACUGAACCUCUGAACCUGUAAGCCAGCCCCCAUGAAAUGUUGUCCUUUUAAGACUUGCCUUGGUCAUAGUGUCUGUUCACAGCAGUAAAACCCUAAGACAGUCCUGUUGCUUUGAGCCUAGGCUGGUACUUGCGGUGGUUUGAAUGGGAAUGGCCCCAUAGGCUCAUACAUUUGAAUACGUGAUCACCAGAGAAUGGCACUGUUUGAAAGGACUAGGAAGUCUGUCUUUGCUGGAGGAAGUGUGUCACUGGGGGUGGGCUUUGAGGUUUCAAAAAAUCCAUUCCAAGUCCAGAGUCUUUCCCUUUCUACUUUCUGUGGAUCUGGAUGUAGGACUCUCAGCUCCUCCAGUACCAUGUCUGUCUGUGUGCCACCAUGCCCACCACCAUGGUAAUGGACUAAACUUGUGAACAGUAAGUCAGUCCCAAUUAAAUGCUUUGGUCACUGUGUCUCUUCAGAGCAAUAGAACAACACAGACAGUACUGGAAGUGCAUCAUGGCGGAGCAGCCCCGUUCAUCUCACGGUUAACCCCUUCAAGGACGGAACCCCAGGGACCUACUUUGCAUACAUGAACUUCUCCAAACCAGGAAAAAAAAAUUGCUUAUCUGAGUGCAGCUACUUUGCAUGGAUUCUGGGAGACCGAACUCAGGUCCUCAUGCUUUCAUAGUAAGCACUUUAAUGGCUGAGCUAUCUCCCCAAACCAGGUGUGAUAUUUUAAAAAAGAGCUUAGUGCAGACAAGCACUGCAGAAUGAGAGAACACCGAAGGACUGUAAGAAUGUGAGGUAAAGGUGGGUGAUUAAACUGGACCAGAGAGGAUACAGGGACUGAAAGUGCAGUGUUAGUGGAAAAACCGCAUGAUCUGAAGACAGAAGUGCAGAACGGGACAGACAUGGGACAUACAUGCUGGAAUCAGGUACUAGCAUGUGGUCAGCUAUUCCUGGACAUGGCUACACAAUUUGAUGUCAAAGAUCAGAUCAGGGUUGGGGGAGGAGACAAAAAUUCAAGUGGGCACUCAGCACCAGGGUGUUACUGUGUACAGGCUGAUGGUGCAGGAUUAAGAAGCCAAAAACAGUGUAAGGUCCAAGUGUUAAAAUCCCCAUGAACAGGAGAGGCUCAUGGCAGCUGUGAGGAGAACUCUAUGAGGGAGCCUCUGAGGAGAGGAAAUGUUUGCAGGGGCACCUUAUUCAGAAAUCCAAGGUCAGCAUGGAAGUAGGCAAUCGCACGCUGGCUUUGAAAGUGCCAGAUAAUGACUGGAGGGAUGCCCAGCAGGUAACGCUGUCCAACAUUCUUGCUGAGGACCAGGGUUCAGUUCCCAGCACUCACAUUAGGCCACUUACAACCCACCUGUGACACCAAUUCCAAGAGACAUGAUGCUCUCUUCUAGCCUCGUGGCCACCUCAAAGGUUGUUCUUGCAGCUUUGCUAGAAGCUGAGUGAAGGCAUCUGGAACUACAGUUUCAGAUGGUUGUGAGCCACCAUUUUGGUACCAGUAACCAAACACAGGUCCUCUGCAAGACACCCAGUACUCUUAACUGGAUUAACCUUUAAAAUAUCUUUAGAAUUGUGUGUGUGAUGGCACACACACCACAAUGCACAUGCAGGUCAAGAUGUAUGCAGUGCAGGUUGGAGGACAGCUUUGUGGAGUGGGUUCUCUCCUUCCAGUUGUACUUGGGCCCCAGGGAUAGAACCUGGCCCACCCCUAGAACAGGACAAGCCAGGGACAGAACCUGGCCCACCCCUAGAACAGGACAAGCCAGGGACAGAACCUGGCCCACCCCUAGAACAGGACAAGCCAGGGACAGAACCUGGCCCACCCCUAGAACAGGACAAGCCAGGGACAGAACCUGGCCCACCCCUAGAACAGGACAAGCCAGGGACAGAACCUGGCCCACCUCUAGAACACUACAAGCCCAUUUCCUACUUGUAAGCUUGGCUCCUCCGUUCAAUCACAACUGGAUCUUAUGCUCUACUCAGUGUAAGUUUUCAGUACCUGGGGGCUUCCACAAACUGAACACUGUUAAAGGUAAUCCGGGAGAGGUGAGUUGUCCAGUGGUCAGACACUGGAGGGUACUUUGUUGAUUGGCACAGUGGAGUUCAAUGGAGCUCUGGUAAUGACAAGCUCGCCCUACACCGUGCUUUUCAAAUGGAAAAUAAGUAGUAUUUGAGUGCCAAUGUCUUUGUUCCCCGUUUACUAGAAAGGAGACAAUGUUAACAAUGUAACAAUUUAUAUGCUAGUCAAAAAGUAUUUCAUAAACCCGUGUGUUUACUAAGAACUGUAAAAUGUUUAAGCUGUAAGGUUUGAAGGAACUUUUAUCCAUAAAGCUGCUACAAGGCAUUUCAGUGUUAAAUCAUGGAAGGCAAGUGUUUUUCUGCAGAGCAGAACUGAAAUGCAGUCUAACCACUGGUUUACAACUUGGUUAAAACCCAAAGCUGUAAGCCGUUUUAGGGAGUCAGAAAAUAUUUCGCACACUUUCAAGAAGUGUUCAGUUAGUCUCAACCAUUUGUUUUUAUUCUCAAAGCGUAAAUGCUCAAAAGUAAUACUCAUUAGCUGGAUGCCUGGCAAGCAAGACAUAUUUAAAUAAUGAACAAGUGAGCAAGCUCUUCAGAUUCAAUGUAGUCCUUCAUCUAGGCUGAUUCCCCUUAAUUUAUUCACAGAACUUUAGGCUCAUUUUACAUGUCUGCUCACACAAUUAAUUACCAUGAUUGAGUUCUCCAACACUGUAAAACUAGACCAAGAGAUGCCCAUUUAUAGCAUGUGUCAGGUGGGGGAGGGUAUUUAUUACUCUGCCUUUAGCCGAGUAAGAGGCAUGGAGUCGUUUUAUGAGUAUUUAAGGGAAAACAGUCUCCUCUCGCCUCACAGAACAUAAAUGGUUUUUAAUCUCUAGUAUAAUUCUUUGAACUAUGAAAUCCCAGAAGAGGAAGUGGUCCCAAGGAGAGUCCUUCUAGGUUUGAGUUCAUUCAUUUCCAAGUGGCCUGCCUGUCCAGCUCCUUGGACAGCUUUAAUGCCUAGAGAAAUCCGUUUCCUCUGAGCCAAAGUCGGCCUCCCGACUGCAUCCCCGAGGCCCCACUGGUCCGUGCCGAGACGUCGAGGCCAGUCACCACCUCCUCCUCCUCCAGCCAGGCGGACCGCCAGUCCACUUCUGUAGGGGCGACACCCAGC